UCCAAAUUCCAUAGAACUUUCAAGAGAAAGAAUAGGAGGAAAAACAAGAGAAAAACAAGAACAAAAAGAGGGCAUUUCGGGUUUGGCCAUAGAAAAAUCACCCCUCAAAAUCUUGCCUCUAAAAUUAUUUUCUUGUUGAAUUCCUACUAAAUUAAGUGUCCUCUACAACUUGGUGUAAUUGUUUUGGAAGAAGGAGCACUUAUUUCUUCAAGUUGACAACUUGUUCAAGUGAAGAAGUUUGUAGAAAAAGUUUUUCGACGAAACGGGAAGUGAGUUUGGAAAGGCUUAAGGAGCGCGAAAGGUACUGACGACAGGUUCGCUGAUCCACACGUUUAGGAUCCUAUUUCUGCUAUUUGGGGCGCUCUCUUCUACAGAGCCCAUCUUUUGGUACAGUCUGUCACUGCUAUCUGGAUAUGUACUUUGUUCAGGGUAUGACGGGGCCCUGUCCCGUCUUAUGAUUAUGAUAUGUUCUGUAGAGGUCUGUGGAUACAUCUGUGUGGGUUCUGUACAUAUGUUUGGGAUAUUCUGUUCUGUGAUGGCCUUAUCGUCCUAUGUGUGCCAAGUCUG